rnacentral:rRNA from 1 species
UUGGGAAUCUUGGACAAUGGGGGAAACCCUGAUCCAGCCAUGCCGCGUGAGUGAUGAAGGCCUUCGGGUUGUAAAACUCUUUCGACGGGGACGAUAAUGACGGUACCCGUAGAAGAAGCUCCGGCUAACUUCGUGCCAGCAGCCGCGGUAAUACGAAGGGGGCUAGCGUUGUUCGGAAUUACUGGGCGUAAAGCGCGCGCAGGCGGCUGGUCAAGUCCGACGUGAAAUCUCCCGGCUUAACUGGGAAAUUGCAUCGGAAACUGAUCGGCUUGAAGGUGGGAGAGGGUAGCGGAAUUCCCGGUGUAGUGGUGAAAUGCGUAGAUAUCGGGAGGAACACCAGUGGCGAAGGCGGCUACCUGGCCCAUUCUUGACGCUGAGGCGCGAAAGCUAGGGGAGCAAAC